rnacentral:rRNA from 1 species
ACUCCUACGGGAGGCAGCAGUGAGGAAUAUUGGGCAAUGGAGGCAACUCUGACCCAGCCAUGCCGCGUGCAGGAAGACGGCCCUAUGGGGUUGUAAACUGCUUUUUAUACAGGAAGAAACGCAUCUACGUGUAGGUGUUUGACGGUACUGUAAGAAUAAGGAUCGGCUAACUCCGUGCCAGCAGCCGCGGUAAUACGGAGGAUUCGAGCGUUAUCCGGAAUCAUUGGGUUUAAAGGGUCCGUAGGCGGUCUUAUAAGUCAGUGGUGAAAUCUUCCAGCUCAACUGGGAAACUGCCAUUGAUACUGUAGGACUUGAAUAUUUGUGAAGUAACUAGAAUAUGUAGUGUAGCGGUGAAAUGCUUAGAUAUUACAUGGAAUACCAAUUGCGAAGGCAGGUUACUAACAGAUUAUUGACGCUGAUGGACGAAAGCGUGGGUAGCGAACAGGAUUAGAUACCCCUGGUAGGUCAGUC